rnacentral:rRNA from 1 species
UGGGGGAUAUUGCACAAUGGGCGAAAGCCUGAUGCAGCGACGCCGCGUGGGGGAUGAAGGCUUUCGGGUUGUAAACCUCUUUCGCUAUCGAACAAGGCCCGCUUAGGGUGGGUUGAGGGUAGGUGGAGAAGAAGCGCCGGCUAACUACGUGCCAGCAGCCGCGGUAAUACGUAGGGCGCGAGGGUUGUCCGGAAUUAUUGGGCGUAAAGGGCUUGUAGGCGGCUUGUUGCGCCUGCUGUGAAAACGCGGGGCUUAACUUCGCGCGUGCAGGGGGUACGGGCAGGCUUGAGUGUGGUAGGGGUGACUGGAAUUCCAGGUGUAGCGGUGGAAUGCGCAGAUAUCUGGAGGAACACCGAUGGCGAAGGCAGGUCACUGGGCCAUUACUGACGCUGAGGAGCGAAAGCAUGGGUAGCGAACAGG